GAUGAACGCUGGCGGCGUGCCUAAUACAUGCAAGUCGAGCGAACAGACGAUGAGCUUGCUCCCCUGACGUUAGCGGCUGACGGGUGAGUAACACGUGGAUAACCUACCUAUAAGACUGGGAUAAUUUCGGGAAACCGGAUCUAAUACCGGAGAAUAUAUUGAACCGCUGGGUUCAAUAGUUAAACAGGGCUUUGCCGUCACUUAUAGAUGAUGUCGGGUUGCAUUAUCGAGUGGGUAAGGUAAAGCCCCACCAAGGCGACGAAGCGUAGCUGAACUGAGAGAAGGAUCGGCCACAAGGGAACUGAGACACGGUCCAGACGCCGACGGGAGGCAGCAGUGGGGAAUAGUGGACAAUGGGCGCAAGCCUGAUCCAGCAAUACCGCGUGGGUGAAGAAGGCCUUCGGGUUGGAAAGCCCUUUUGUUGAGAAAGAAAAGCAGCAGGUUAAUACCCCGCUGUUCUGACGGUACCCAAAGAAGAAGCAACGGCUAACUUCGUG
rnacentral:rRNA from 1 species